rnacentral:rRNA from 1 species
GGACCGAUGUAUCGGUCGUGCCUCGGUACGUACUGGUCAAAUUGAUUCCUACCUUCUGACGAACCACGAUGUCAUUAAUUUGGUGUCGUGGGAAAUCAGGACUGUUACUUUGAAAAAAUUAGAGUGUUUAAAGCAGGCUCACGCUUGAAUACAUUAGCAUGGAAUAAUGAAAUAGGACGUUUGAUUCUAUUUUGUUGGUUUUUAGGAUCAACGUA